CGACGCGGCAGAGCUGGCCCUGCCCGGGUUCCCGAAAGCGGCUGGUCUUGGCUACGUAGACUGGCAGCAACCCAGUGGCGAGGAGUUCGAAUUACCUGGUCACUGAAGGUUCCGAGGACUGAGCUGACCUGGCAUUAUUCCUUUAGGGUUCACCAAACUUCCUAAAUAUGUUUCUUUUUUCCUUUUUUUUUUUUUUUUUUUUUUUUUUUUUAGUACUUUGGUUGCCAACUUGGGAAUCAAUGCUGGCUAAUUCGCUAUGGUGUGUGAAGCUUUUACAAACUACGUGUAGCAGGAGCAGGAUUCGGGCAGACAGUGUCACAGUCCCUUAUAGUCACAGUGCUUGGAAUGUGAUAGAUGUUCGAUAAAUGUUUUUGAAAUGGACUUAUCUGGGCCAUCGUGAACUCUCCGACCGAUUUGGGGCCCUCGAUUUGAAGGGAUAACGACAACAGAGCCUCUUCCGGGCCACUUUCCAAAAGAUCACCAGAAGAUGAGGGGUGUUUAGCCCAGAAAAGAGGAGCCCAAAAGCAUGGGGACCCAUCGACCUCUUUUAGCUUACAGUUAACAAAACCUCAGUCAUAGGAUGUCUGUUAAAGGAGCUCUUCUCCAUUCCCGACUUUUUUUGGAAUGUGUGACUGUAAUUAAGAACCUUUAAAUCUAAUUAAUUGUGCAGACUGAAGAGAGAAUGUAGGAGAUGGACAACAAGAGGAAGACAGAGAGCAAGAAUUUAACAUUUAGUCAGUACCUCAGACCUGAUGGAUAACAGGGUGUAAGAGGACAGUUUUGGCUGGGCAAGGCCUUGGACUUAGCCUUGGCUAGAGGGGGAAGAUGUCACCCCUCCCUCAAAAAUACCCAUUUCCAUCUGAGUGAAGAAACGUCCUGGAAGAGAACUAGGUAUCCUAAUCUCCUCCUAGUGAGUCCGAAAGAAGUCUGAAGACCUGCCGUGGCCCUCACUGAAAGGAUGGCCAAAGACAUUGAGGAAUGAUAGAAGAAAGGAAUGGGGGUCCUUGAGAGCAAAGUCACAAUAAAGAGAGAGAGAGAUGGAGACAGAAUCCGAAGCAGGCUCCAGGCAGUCAGCACAGAGCCCAACGUAGGGUUCAAACCUACAAGCAGUGAGAUCAUGACCUGAGCCGAAGUCAGAUGCCCAACCAACUGAGCCACCCAGGUGCCCCAUGCGUUAUCUUAUUUAAUCUAUUUAAUAAUUCCAUAACCCUCUGCAGUAGCUACUUUCUUUUCUUUAAGUGGGUACUUUUAAUGUCCUCAUUUUCCAUCUAAGGCUGAGAGAGGUUAAAAACUUACUCAAGGUCAUACAUCUUAGAUCUGAGCCCAGGUCAUUUGACUCCAGAGCCUGUGGUCUUAUCUGCUAUACUAUACUGCCUGUCACUCUAUGUUCCUGAAAAUGUGACUUUAGUGGGGUCAUCCAGUCUAGUUAAAGAACCACCCUAAGCAUUAGUUAAAUUGGUUCUGGUUCCCUAUUCCCACCACCACCACAUGUUUGGCUAGAGCUUGAGGUCUCUCUUUCUUCCUUUCUCUCCCCCUGGUUCCAGCAUAACAGCAAAUGUUUCUCUGGAGAGUACGCUGUGUCAGAAUCCCGUGACACUCAA